rnacentral:rRNA from 1 species
AACGAACGCUGGCGGCAUGCCUAACACAUGCAAGUCGAACGAGACGUUCGGGGCUUGUGGCGCAAGGGUGCGUACCGCGUGGUAACCUGCCCUUAGGUUCGGAAUAAUUCCCUGAAGGGUGUGCUAAUAACGCUGAAUGUCUUCGGACCAAAGAUUUAUCGCUUUUGGAUGGUCCCGCGUGGGAUUAGCGAGUUGGUAGGGUAAAAGCCUACCAAGGCGACGAGCCAUAGCUGGUCUGAGAGGAUGAUCAGCCACACUGGGACUGCGACCCGGACCAGACUCCUAGGGGAGGCAGCAGUGGGGAAUAUUGGACACUGGGCGAAAGCCUGAUGCAGCAGUGCCGCGUAAGUCAUGAAGCCGUUAGGAUUGUACAGCUCUUUUGCACGGGAUGAUAGUGACGGUACCGGGAGAAUAAGCUCCGGCUAACUACGUG